rnacentral:rRNA from 1 species
GUGCCAGCAGCCGCGGUAAUACGGAGGGUGCAAGCGUUAUCCGGAUUUAUUGGGUUUAAAGGGUGCGUAGGCGGUUUGAUAAGUCAGCGGUGAAAUAUUUCAGCUUAACUGGAAGGGUGCCGUUGAUACUGUCAGGCUUGAAUUUAGUUGCUGUGGGUGGAAUGUGUGGUGUAGCGGUGAAAUGCAUAGAUAUCACACAGAAUAUCGAUUGCGAAGGCAGCUCACAAAGCUAAAAUUGACGCUGAUGCACGAAAGUGUGGGGAUCAAACAGGAUUAGAUACCCUGGUAGUCCACACUGUAAACGAUGAUAACUCGCUGUCGGCGAUACAUAGUCGGUGGCCAAGCGAAAGCGAUAAGUUAUCCACCUGGGGAGUACGACCGCAAGGUUGAAACUCAAAGGAAUUGACGGGGGCCCGCACAAGCGGAGGAACAUGUGGUUUAAUUCGAUGAUACGCGAGGAACCUUACCCGGGCUCGAACGGUGCAUGAAUGAUUCAGAGAUGGAUUAGUCCUUCGGGACAUGUAUCGAGGUGCUGCAUGGUUGUCGUCAGCUCGUGCCGUGAGGUGUCGGCUUAAGUGCCAUAACGAGCGCAACCCUUGUCGUUAGUUACCAUCAAGUAAUGUUGGGGACUCUAGCGAGACUGCCACCGUAAGGUGUGAGGAAGGGGGGGAUGACGUCAAAUCAGCACGGCCCUUACGUCCGGGGCGACACACGUGUUACAAUGGUAGGUACAGAGGGCAGCUACCCAGUGAUGGGGUGCGAAUCUCAAAAACCUAUCUCAGUUCGGAUUGGAGUCUGCAACUCGACUCCAUGAAGUUGGAUUCGCUAGUAAUCGCGCAUCAGCCAUGGCGCGGUGAAUACGUUCCCGGGCCUUGUACACACCGCCCGUCAAGCCAUGGAAGCCGGGGGUGCCUGAAGUUCGUGACCGCAAGGAGCGACCUAGGGCAAAACUGGUAACUGGGGCUAAGUCGUAACAAGGUAACC